rnacentral:lncRNA from 1 species
CUUGCUAACUAGAGUGAUGUUUAUGUCAGAAAUUAGCUAUAAUGGUGUCAAUGAUGUUCCCCCUCGACAGCCUAGCUGGUAAUAUUUGACAACCACCUUAGUCCAUUGCAUGAAAUUAUUUGUAUAAUCUAAAAGCAUGAAGCACAUGAAACCAAUAUAAUAACCAUGUCUUUGAGAAAUAGUUCAAUUAUCCUAUUUUUAUAUGCUAAGUUUUUAAGUCUAAUGUUGGUUCAUAUUGCCAUUGAGAUCUGGCCCCACCCAUGCAUCGAGUUGAUUGGGUUGCUGGAG